UACAGAGGGGGCAAGCGUUGUUCGGAAUUACUGGGCGUAAAGGGCGCGUAGGCGGCCUGCUAAGUCAGGGGUGAAAUCCCGGGGCUCAACCCCGGAACUGCCUUUGAUACUGGUAGUCUCGAGUCCGGAAGAGGUGAGUGGAAUUCCGAGUGUAGAGGUGAAAUUCGUAGAUAUUCGGAGGAACACCAGUGGCGAAGGCGGCUCACUGGUCCGGUACUGACGCUGAGGUGCGAAAGCGUGGGGAGCAAACAGG
rnacentral:rRNA from 1 species